rnacentral:rRNA from 1 species
CUGAUGGCGACCGGCGCACGGGUGAGUAACGCGUAUCCAACCUGCCCUUUACUAUGGGACAGCCCGUCGAAAGGCGGAUUAAUACCGUAUGUUGUCAUGUUGAUGCAUAUUUUCAUGACCAAAGGCUUCGGCCGGUAAAGGAUGGGGAUGCGUCUGAUUAGCUUGCCGGCGGGGUAACGGCCCACCGGGGCGACGAUCAGUAGGGGUUCUGAGAGGAAGGUCCCCCACAUUGGAACUGAGACACGGUCCAAACUCCUACGGAAGGCAGCAG